rnacentral:rRNA from 1 species
UACGAAGGGGGCUAGCGUUGCUCGGAAUCACUGGGCGUAAAGGGUGCGUAGGCGGGUCUUUAAGUCAGGGGUGAAAUCCUGGAGCUCAACUCCAGAACUGCCUUCGAUACUGGAAGACUUGAGUCCGGAAGAGGAGAGUGGAAUUCCUGGUGUAGCGGUGAAAUGCGCAGAUAUCAGGAAGAACACCUAUGGCGAAGGCAGCUCUCUGGGACGGUACUGACGCUGAGACGCGAAAGCGUGGGGAGCGAACAGG